rnacentral:rRNA from 1 species
AUUGAACGCUGGCGGCAGGCUUAACACAUGCAAGUCGAGUGAGCGGCGGACGGGUGAGUAAUGUCUGGGAAAAUGCCUGAUGGAGGGGGAUAACUACUGGAAAAGGUAGCUAAUACAGCAUACCACCCGAUGUGUCCAGAUGGGAUUAGCUAGUAGGUGGGGUAAUGGCACACCUAGGCGACGAUCCCUAGCUGGUCUGAGAGGCAGACCGGCCACACUGGAACUGAGACACGGUCCAGACUCCUACGGGAGACAGCAGUGGGGAAUAUUGGACAAUGGGCGAAAGCCUGAUGCAGCCAUGCCGCGUGUGUGAAGAAGGCCUUCGGGUUGUAAAGCACUUUCAGCGAGGAGGCGUUACUCGCAGAAGAAGCACCGGCUAACUCCGUGCCAGCAGCCGCGGUAAUUC